rnacentral:rRNA from 1 species
UCAAGUAAUUAAGUGCAUGUGGUGGAUGCCUUGGCAGUCAGAGGCGAUGAAAGACGUGAUAGCCUGCGAAAAGCUCCGGGGAGGCGGCAAAUAUCCUUUGAUCCGGAGAUGUCUGAAUGGGGGAACCCACCUACUUUAAGGUAGGUAUUGCAACAUGAAUACAUAGUGUUGCAAGGCGAACGAGGGGAAGUGAAACAUCUCAGUACCCUUAGGAAAAGAAAUCAAUUGAGAUUCCCUCAGUAGCGGCGAGCGAACGGGGAUCAGCCCAUUAAGUUAUGUGUGUUUUAGUGGAACGCUCUGGGAAGUGCGAACGUAGAGGGUGAUAUUCCCGUACACGAAAGGGCACACAUAAUGAUGACGAGUAGGGCGAGGCACGUGAAACCUUGUCUGAAUAUGGGGGGACCAUCCUCCAAGGCUAAAUACUCCUGACUGACCGAUAGUGAACCAGUACCGUGAGGGAAAGGCGAAAAGAACCCCUGUGAGGGGAGUGAAAUAGAUCCUGAAACCGCAUGCAUACAAGCAGUGGGAGCACCUUCGUGGUGUGACUGCGUACCUUUUGUAUAAUGGGUCAGCGACUUAUAUUCAGUAGCGAGGUUAACCGUAUAGGGGAGCCGUAGAGAAAUCGAGUCUUAAUAGGGCGUUUAGUUGCUGGGUAUAGACCCGAAACCAGGCGAUCUAUCCAUGAGCAGGUUGAAGGUUGGGUAACACUAACUGGAGGACCGAACCCACUGUCGUUGAAAAGCCAGGGGAUGACUUGUGGAUAGGGGUGAAAGGCUAAUCAAGCCUGGUGAUAGCUGGUUCUCCCCGAAAGCUAUUUAGGUAGCGCCUCGGACGAAUACCAUAGGGGGUAGAGCACUGUUUCGGCUAGGGGGUCAUCCCGACUUACCAAACCGAUGCAAACUCCGAAUACCUAUGAGUACUAUCCGGGAGACAGACUGCGGGUGCUAACGUCCGUAGUCAAGAGGAAAACAAUCCAGACCGCCAGCUAAGGCCCCAAAAUCAUAGUUAAGUGGGAAACGAUGUGGGAAGGCAUAGACAGCUAGGAGGUUGGCUUAGAAGCAGCCACCCUUUAAAGAAAGCGUAAUAGCUCACUAGUCGAGUCGGCCUGCGCGGAAGAUGUAACGGGGCUAAAACUAUGUGCCGAAGCUGCGGAUGUAUACUUUGUAUACGUGGUAGGGGAGCGUUCUGUAAGCCGAUGAAGGUGUGUUGAGAAGCAUGCUGGAGGUAUCAGAAGUGCGAAUGCUGACGUGAGUAACGACAAAACGGGUGAAAAACCCGUUCGCCGAAAGACCAAGGGUUCCAGUCCAACGUUAAUCGGGGCUGGGUGAGUCGACCCCUAAGGCGAGGCCGAAAGGCGUAGUCGAUGGGAAAAUGGUUAAUAUUCCAUUACUUCUGUGUAAUGCGAUGAGAGGACGGAGAAGGCUAAAUCAGCCUGGCGUUGGUUGUCCAGGUGAAAGGAUGUAGGCAUGUAUCUUAGGCAAAUCCGGGGUGCUCUAUGCUGAGAUCUGAUAGCAAGCUGUACUUGUACAGCGAAGUGGUUGAUGCCAUGCUUCCAGGAAAAGUCUCUAAGCUUCAGUUACACAGGAAUCGUACCCGAAACCGACACAGGUGGUCAGGUCGAGUAGACCAAGGCGCUUGAGAGAACUCUGCUGAAGGAACUAGGCAAAAUGGUACCGUAACUUCGGGAGAAGGUACGCUGUUGUUGGUGAUGGAACUCGCUUCCUGAGCUGACGACAGCCGCAGAAACCAGGCCGCUGCAACUGUUUAUUAAAAACAUAGCACUCUGCAAACACGAAAGUGGACGUAUAGGGUGUGAUGCCUGCCCGGUGCUGGAAGGUUAAUUGAUGGGGUUAGCGUAAGCGAAGCUCUUGAUCGAAGCCCCAGUAAACGGCGGCCGUAACUAUAACGGUCCUAAGGUAGCGAAAUUCCUUGUCGGGUAAGUUCCGACCUGCACGAAUGGCAUAAUGAUGGCGGCGCUGUCUCCAGCAGAGGCUCAGUGAAAUCGAAAUCGCUGUGAAGAUGCAGUGUACCCGCGGCUAGACGGAAAGACCCCGUGAACCUUUACUGCAGCUUGACACUGAACUUUGACCUUACUUGUGUAGGAUAGGUGGGAGGCUUUGAAGCUGGAACGCUAGUUCCAGUGGAGCCGUCCUUGAAAUACCACCCUGGUAAUGUUGAGGUUCUAACUCUGUCCCGUGAUCCGGGACGAGGACCGUGUCUGGUGGGUAGUUUGACUGGGGCGGUCUCCUCCUAAAGAGUAACGGAGGAGUACGAAGGUGCGCUCAGCGUGGUCGGAAAUCACGCGUAGAGUAUAAAGGCAAAAGCGCGCUUAACUGCGAGACCCACAAGUCGAGCAGGUACGAAAGUAGGUCUUAGUGAUCCGGUGGUUCUGUAUGGAAGGGCCAUCGCUCAACGGAUAAAAGGUACUCUGGGGAUAACAGGCUGAUACCGCCCAAGAGUUCAUAUCGACGGCGGUGUUUGGCACCUCGAUGUCGGCUCAUCUCAUCCUGGGGCUAAGCAGGUCCCAAGGGUAUGGCUGUUCGCCAUUUAAAGAGGUACGCGAGCUGGGUUUAGAACGUCGUGAGACAGUUCGGUCCCUAUCUACCGUGGGCGCUGGAAAUUUGAGAGGAUCUGCUCCUAGUACGAGAGGACCAGAGUGGACGAACCUCUGGUGUACCGGUUGUGACGCCAGUCGCAUCGCCGGGUAGCUAUGUUCGGAAGGGAUAACCGCUGAAAGCAUCUAAGCGGGAAGCCUACCUCAAGAUAAGAUUUCCCUAGGACUUUAUGUCCUCUAAAGAGCCGUUCGAGACUAGGACGUUGAUAGGUUGGAUGUGGAAGCAUAGUGAUAUGUGAAGCUGACCAAUACUAAUUGCUCGUGAGGCUUGACUAU